rnacentral:lncRNA from 1 species
UGCUUUUCUUUCUCAAGGACCUCUUGGAGGUUGGCUAGCUCGGUAGCCUUUUCUUUGAGGCGGGCGGCUUCGGCCCGGCGACCCUCCUCCGCCUAGAUGGCGUCCCUCCUCGCCCGAUUCAUCACCUCGAUGUUGGCAAGGAGCUGAUGCCCGAUCUACAAGGGCGGCUAGGAGGUCAGAACGAAAGUUGAGAAGCUAAUUGAAUGAAGG